GGCGAGAUGGCCGAGCGGUCUAAGGCGCCAGACUAAGGAUCAGUCAACAUUCGUUGAUAACCCCAGGAAAAACCUUCCUAUCUGGUCUUUCGAGGCGUGGGUUCGAAUCCCACUCUCGUCA
rnacentral:tRNA from 1 species